CCGACCUUAGCUCAGUUGGUAGAGCGGAGGACUGUAGUGGUUGAAUCUUCAGAUAUCCUUAGGUCGCUGGUUCGAAUCCGGCAGGUCGGA
rnacentral:tRNA from 2 species